AAAACAGCUCCUUUGAUGGGUCUAAACCUAAAAAGCACGGACACGCCAGAAUCAGCCGAACUGCCGUCCUGAUACGGCGGGAUACGGGGAUACGCCGGGAUACGCUGGGAUACGCGAACUAAGCCGUGUCCCACGAAUUUCGAUUAAUAAUAAGGAAAAAAUUACAGGGAUACGGUGGGACACGUCUGGGACACGUUUGGGACACGGCCCAGCCCAAAACCAGCCUCGGUCCAACCCAAUACGAAACCCUAUAUGUCUCCCGCACCUUCUCUGUCAUGAGAACGAGGUGCUCCCUCCCAGGUCGUACUGCACGAGCCGCCGCCUCCUGGAUCGACGCCGCCGCCGGCGACGCCUGGAUUCGGCGACCGCUAGCCCCAGCACCAGCAGCCUUUACUCGCAGAUGGAUGCAGCUUGCAAUGACAACAUGGCAUGGGGGGAUGAGGAUCAAUCAAGCACUUGGCAAAAAAGAUUUCUUUCUUAUUAAUUUUCUGUCUUAACUUAAUAUUACAUGCCAUAU